CGCGUAGGCGGACUUGUAAGUCGGGAGUGAAAACUCGGGGCUCAACCCCGAGCCUGCUUCUGAAACUGCGAGUCUUGAGGACCGGAGAGGAAAGUGGAAUUCCUAGUGUAGCGGUGGAAUGCGUAGAUAUUAGGAAGAACACCAGUGGCGAAGGCGACUUUCUGGACGGUUCCUGACGCUGAGGCGCGAAAGCUAGGGGAGCAAACA
rnacentral:rRNA from 1 species